CAAUAGCGUAUAUUAAAGUUGUUGCAGUUAAAAAGCUCGCAGUUGGAUUUCUGGUAGGAGUGACCGUUCCGAACUUGAUUGUUCGUGUAUUGUGUUUUCUCCAGCCAUCCUUGUGGAGAACUUUUCUUGCAUUAAUUUGUAGGGAUUGGGACCCGCAUCGUUUACUGUGAAAAAAUUAGAGUGUUUAAAGCAGGCAAUCGCUUGAAUACAUUAGCAUGGAAUAAUAAGAUAGGACUUUGGUACUAUUUUGUUGGUUUGCAUACCAAAUUAAUGAUCAACAGGAACAGUUUGAGGAUAUUCGUAUGAACAUGUCAGAGGUGAAAUUCUUGGAUUUUGAUCAGACGAACUACUGCGAAAGCAUUUAUCAAGGAUGUUUUCAUUAA
rnacentral:rRNA from 1 species